AACUUUCAACAACGGAUCUCUUGGUUCUGGCAUCGAUGAGAACGCAGCA
rnacentral:rRNA from 1 species